rnacentral:lncRNA from 1 species
AUCUUGUCUUAGAGCUGGAUCACUGCCAUUAAGUUAAAUAAAUUUAUCAGAAGAAGUAAGAUAUAGAAGUGAAGAAGAAUAUUUUAUGUAAUAUAAAAUUAUGUAUGUAUAUAAUAGGUGUAUAUCAGAAUUCAUUGUAUCUUGUAAUUUACGUGCAAUAUGUUUUCCAUAGCACAAGUUACAAUUAGUUUCAAUAUUAGGAGCAGGACUCCUUGUUGGUACUGCGCUAGCGAUUAUACCUGACUGUACCUGAGGGUGUAAGAGCAUUAUUUACUGUGGAUGGUAUUAUUAAUGAAAAAGGCAAUUUACAUACUUUAACUUGGAAUUAGUUUAGUACUUGGUUUAUGCUUUUAAUUGAUCAAUGUUCAGCCAGAAAAAGUGGAGGAAGACAAGAAAAGUAUUACAGCAACCUUAGGUCUUAUAGUAGAUGCUGCUAGUUGAUUGGCGGUGUUGCAUUGGGAGCUGCUGCUACAUCUCAAGCUGAUGUCGAAGUGUCUUAGUUUUUCUUCGCAAUAAUGUUACACAAGGCGCCAGAUGCAUUUGGACUUGUGUCAAUUUCUUCUUCAUGAAGGUGUAGAUAGAAAGUAAGAAAAUAAGCAGACACUUAUUAAUUUUCUCACUUGCGGCACCGUGUCUUGCACUUGUGACAUAUUUUGGAAUUGGAAAAGUAAUGACAUUCAGGACUGCCGCGCAAGACUGCACGCGCCAAUCAGGCGCGAGAACGGACGCGGACGCGCGAAGACUCCCAAUCAGGAGCGAGGACUGCCGUGCGUGCGCGAAGACGUCCAAUCAGGCGCGAGAACUGCCGCGCACGCCGCCAAGACUCCCAAUCAGGCGCGAGGACUGCCGCGGACGCGCGAAGACUGCCAAUCAGGAGCGAGGACUGCCGCGCACGCCGCCAUAACUGCC